UACUUCUCACCACAUGGUUCAACCUCUCUAAGUGAGUUUGAUUGACCAUUGAAGUGUCAGAAUGACUCCCAAGGCUGAGCUCCUACUUUCCUUUUAAAACACUAAGAAUCUCACCGAGAGAUUAUACACAGAUGGAACUUAGUUUACUUCUACACAGAUGGAACUUACUUUACCACUUGGAUCGUACUUUCAUCACUUUAUAAUCAUAUACUUUUCAAACAUAAUAUCAAUAACAG
rnacentral:lncRNA from 1 species